GGAUAACACUUAGAAAUAGGUGCUAAUACCGCAUAAGCGCACAGAGCCGCAUGGCUUGGUGUGAAAAACUCCGGUGGUAUGCGAUGGGCCCGCGUCUGAUUAGCUUGUUGGCGGGGCAGCGGCCCACCAAGGCGACGAUCAGUAGCCGGCCUGAGAGGGUGGACGGCCACAUUGGGACUGAGACACGGCCCAGACUCCUACGGGAGGCAGCAGUGGGGAAUAUUGCACAAUGGGGGGAACCCUGAUGCAGCGACGCCGCGUGAGUGAAGAAGUAUUUCGGUAUGUAAAGCUCUAUCAGCAGGGAAGAAAAUGACGGUACCUGACUAAGAAGCCCCGGCUAACUACGUGCCAGCAGCCGCGGUAAUACGUAGGGGGCAAGCGUUAUCCGGAUUUACUGGGUGUAAAGGGAGCGCAGACGGCUGUGCAAGUCUGGAGUGAAAGGCGGGGGCCCAACCCCCGGACUGCUCUGGAAACUGUAAAGCUGGAGUGCAGGAGAGGUAAGCGGAAUUCCUAGUGUAGCGGUGAAAUGCGUAGAUAUUAGGAGGAACACCAGUGGCGAAGGCGGCUUACUGGACUGCAACUGACGUUGAGGCUCGAAAGCGUGGGGAGCAGACAGGAUUAGAUACCCUGGUAGUCCACGCCGUAAACGAUGAUUACUAGGUGUCGGGGGGUAGAGGCCCGCCGGUGCCGCAG
rnacentral:rRNA from 1 species